rnacentral:rRNA from 1 species
UACGUAGGCAGCAAGCGUUGUUCGGAGUUACUGGGCGUAAAGGGUGCGUAGGUGGCUCUAUAAGUAUGGUGUGAAAUCUCCCGGCUUAACUGGGAGGGUGCGCCGUAGACUGUGGGGCUAGAGUGUGGGAGAGGAAAGUGGAAUUCCUGGUGUAGCGGUGAAAUGCGUAGAUAUCAGGAGGAACACCGGUGGUGUAAACGGCUUUCUGGACCAUAACUGACACUGGAGGCACGAAAGCCGUGGGUGGCAAACAGG